AUUGAACGCUGGCGGAAUGCUUUACACAUGCAAGUCGAGCGGCAGCGCGGGGCAACCUGGCGGCGAGCGGCGAACGGGUGAGUAAUGCAUCGGAACGUACCCCGUCGUGGGGGAUAACUACCCGAAAGGGUAGCUAAUACCGCAUACGACCUGAGGGUGAAAGCGGGGGACCGAAAGGCCUCGCGCGAUGGGAGCGGCCGAUGCCCGGAUUAGCUAGUUGGUAGGGUAAAGGCCUACCAAGGCGACGAUCCGUAGCUGGUCUGAGAGGACGACCAGCCACACUGGAACUGAGACACGGUCCAGACUCCUACGGGAGGCAGCAGUGGGGAAUUUUGGACAAUGGGCGAAAGCCUGAUCCAGCCAUUCCGCGUGAGUGAAGAAGGCCUCGG
rnacentral:rRNA from 1 species